UACGAAGGGGGGCUAGCGUUGCUCGGAAUGACUGGGCGUAAAGCGCACGUAGGCGGUCGACUAAGUCAGGUGUGAAAGCCCUGGGCUCAACCCAGGAAGUGCACUUGAAACUGGUCGACUUGAAUAUGGAAGAGGGUUGCGGAAUUCCCGGUGUAGAGGUGAAAUUCGUAGAUAUCGGGAGGAACACCAGUGGCGAAGGCGGCAACCUGGGCCAAUAUUGACGCUGAGGUGCGAAAAGCGUGGGGGAGCAAACAGG
rnacentral:rRNA from 1 species